rnacentral:rRNA from 1 species
AUUGAACGCUGGCGGCAUGCUUUACACAUGCAAGUCGAACGGUAACAGGGUGCUUGCACCGCUGACGAGUGGCGAACGGGUGAGUAAUACAUCGGAAUGUACCCAGUAAUGGGGGAUAAUGCUGCGCAAGGAGUGCUAGUACCGCAUACUCCCUGAGGGGGCAAGUGGCGGCCCGCAAGGCCUCCCGUGCUUGGAGCAGCCGAUGGCUGAUUAGGUAGUUGGUGGGGGAAAGGCUAACCAAGGCGACGAUCAGUAGCGGGUCGUAGAGGACGAGCCGCCACACUGGAACUGAGACACGGUCCAGCCUCCUACGGGAGGCAGCAGUGGGGAAUCUUGGACAAUGGGCGAAAGCCUGAUCCAGCAAUGCCGCGUGCGUGAAGCAGGCCUUCGGGUUGUAAAGCGCUUUUGUCUGGGAGCAAAUCCUGGCCUCUAAUACAGGUCCGGGAUGAGAGUAGCAAAGGAAUAAGGACCGGCUAACUACGUGCCAGCCGCCGCCGUAAAAC